rnacentral:rRNA from 1 species
CCUACGGGUGGCAGCAGUGAGGAAUAUUGGUCAAUGGGGGAAACCCUGAUGCAGCGACGCCGCGUGGGUGAAGAAGCGCCUCGGCGCGUAAAGCCCUGUCAGCAGGGAAGAAAAUGACGGUACCUGAAGAAGAAGCCCCGGCUAACUACGUGCCAGCAGCCGCGGUAAUACGUAGGGGGCAAGCGUUAUCCGGAUUUACUGGGUGUAAAGGGGGCGCAGACGGCGAUGCAAGCCAGGAGUGAAAGCCCGGGGCCCAACCCCGGGACUGCUCUUGGAACUGCGUGGCUAGAGUGCAGGAGGGGCAGGCGGAAUUCCUGGCGUAGCGGUGAAAUGCGUAGAUAUCAGGAGGAACACCGGUGGCGAAGGCGGCCUGCUGGACUGCAACUGACGUUGAGGCCCGAAAGCGUGGGGAGCAAACAGGAUUAGAUACCCCUGUAGUC